UAAUUAUCCAAGGGGUGCCUUAUAUAAAGGCUGAGAUGGAGUCAUCCAAACUCUUUGAACCUGAUCCGGGUAAUACCGGCGUAGGGAUAGGACAAGUAUCAGUCA
rnacentral:ncRNA from 2 species